rnacentral:rRNA from 1 species
UACAGAGGUCUCGAGCGUUAGGCGGAAUCACUGGGCUUAAAGCGUGUGUAGGCGGAUCGUUAAAGUACCUUGUGAAAUCCCACGGCUUAACCGUGGAACUGCUUGGUAUACUGGCGGUCUUGAGCCAGCUAGGGGCUACCGGAACAAAUGGUGGAGCGGUGAAAUGCGUAGAUAUCAAUUUGGAACGCCAAUGGGUGAAAAACAGGUAGCCUGGGGGCUGUGCUGA